ACUUUAAUUGAAGAGUUUGAUCAUGGCUCAGAUUGAACGCUGGCGGCAGGCCUAACACAUGCAAGUCGAGCGGUAACAUUUCAAAAGCUUGCU
rnacentral:rRNA from 1 species